AGUUCCGCAUGGGACAGUAAUUAAAUAUUUAUAGGAUAUGGAUGGGCUCGCGUGACAUUAGCUAGUUGGUAGGGUAACGGCUUACCAAGGCUACGAUGUCUAGGGGCUCUGAGAGGAGAAUCCCCCACACUGGUACUGAGACACGGACCAGACUCCUACGGGAGGCAGCAGUAAGGAAUAUUGGUCAAUGGAGGGAACUCUGAACCAGCCAUGCCGCGUGCAGGAUGACUGCCCUAUGGGUUGUAAACUGCUUUUGUCAGGGAAUAAACCUUUCUACGUGUAGGAAGCUGAAUGUACCUGAAGAAUAAGGAUCGGCUAACUCCGUGCCAGCAGCCGCGGUAAUACGGAGGAUCCGAGCGUUAUCCGGAUUUAUUGGGUUUAAAGGGUGCGUAGGCGGCUUAUUAAGUCAGGGGUGAAAUACGGCAGCUCAACUGUCGCAGUGCCUUUGAUACUGAUAAGCUUGAAUGUGGUUGAAGAUGGCGGAAUGAGACAAGUAGCGGUGAAAUGCAUAGAUAUGUCUCAGAACUCCGAUUGCGAAGGCAGCUAUCUAAGCCAUUAUUGACGCUGAUGCACGAAAGCGUGGGGAUCAAACAGGAUUAGAUACCCUGGUAGUCCACGCCCUAAACGAUGAUAACUCGAUGUUAGCGAUACACAGUUAGCGUCUUAGCGAAAGCGUUAAGUUAUCCACCUGGGGAGUACGCCCGCAAGGGUGAAACUCAAAGGAAUUGACGGGGGCCCGCACAAGCGGAGGAGCAUGUGGUUUAAUUCGAUGAUACGCGAGGAACCUUACCCGGGCUUGAAAGUUAGUGAAUGAUCCAGAGACGGAUCAGUCCUUCGGGACACGAAACUAGGUGCUGCAUGGCUGUCGUCAGCUCGUGCCGUGAGGUGUUGGGUUAAGUCCCGCAACGAGCGCAACCCCUAUGUUUAGUUGCCAGCAUGUAAUGAUGGGGACUCUAAACAGACUGCCUGCGUAAGCAGUGAGGAAGGUGGGGACGACGUCAAGUCAUCAUGGCCCUUACGUCCGGGGCUACACACGUGCUACAAUGGAUGGUACAGCGGGCAGCUACACAGCAAUGUGAUGCCAAUCUCGAAAAGCCAUUCACAGUUCGGAUCGGGGUCUGCAACUCGACCCCGUGAAGUUGGAUUCGCUAGUAAUCGCGUAUCAGCAAUGACGCGGUGAAUACGUUCCCGGGCCUUGUACACACCGCCCGUCAAGCCAUGAAAGUUGGGGGUGCCUAAAGCAUGUA
rnacentral:rRNA from 1 species